rnacentral:rRNA from 1 species
UACGAAGGUCCCAAGCGUUAUCCGGAUUUAUUGGGUUUAAAGGGUGCGUAGGCGGACUAUUAAGUCAGUGGUGAAAGCCCCCAGCCUAACUGGGGAACUGCCAUUGAUACUGAUGGUCUUGAGUACAUUUGAGGUGGGCGGAAUGUGUCAUGUAGCGGUGAAAUGCUUAGAUAUGACACAGAACACCGAUUGCGAAGGCAGCUCACUAAACUGUAACUGGACGCUGAGGCACGAAAGCGUGGGGAGCAAACAGGG